UGGGGAAUCUUAGACAAUGGGGGAAACCCUGAUCUAGCCAUGCCGCGUGAGUGACGAAGGCCUUAGGGUCGUAAAGCUCUUUCGCCAGGGAUGAUAAUGACAGUACCUGGUAAAGAAACCCCGGCUAACUCCGUGCCAGCAGCCGCGGUAAUACGGAGGGGGUUAGCGUUGUUCGGAAUUACUGGGCGUAAAGCGCACGUAGGCGGACUAUUAAGUCAGGGGUGAAAUCCCGGGGCUCAACCCCGGAACUGCCUUUGAUACUGGUGGUCUUGAGUUCGAGAGAGGUGAGUGGAAUUCCGAGUGUAGAGGUGAAAUUCGUAGAUAUUCGGAGGAACACCAGUGGCGAAGGCGGCUCACUGGCUCGAUACUGACGCUGAGGUGCGAAAGCGUGGGGAGCAAACAGGAUUAGAUACCCCCGUAGUCC
rnacentral:rRNA from 1 species